AUUGAACGCUGGCGGCAGGCCUAACACAUGCAAGUCGAGCGGUUGAGGUAGCUUGCUACCGAUACAGCGGCGGACGGGUGAGUAAUACAUGGGAAUCUGCCUGGUAGUGGGGGACAACGUUUCGAAAGGAACGCUAAUACCGCAUACGCCCUACGGGGGAAAGGGGGGGAUCUUCGGACCUCUCGCUAUCAGAUGAGCCCAUGUCAGAUUAGCUUGUUGGUGAGGUAAAGGCUCACCAAGGCGACGAUCUGUAACUGGUCUGAGAGGAUGAUCAGUCACACUGGAACCGAGACACGGUCCAGACUCCUACGGGAGGCAGCAGUGGGGAAUAUUGGACAAUGGGCGCAAGCCUGAUCCAGCCAUGCCGCGUGUGUGAAGAAGGCCUUAGGGUUGUAAGGCACUUUCAGUGGGGAGAAAGGCCUUUUACUUAAUACGUAAGAGGAUUGAUGUUACCCACAGAAGAAGCACCGGCUAACUCCGUGCCAGCCGCCGCGGUAA
rnacentral:rRNA from 1 species